rnacentral:lncRNA from 1 species
AAUGGCUUUUAUGGCGUAGGCUAUACGUGCUGUGUCAGACAGGUGUUUUGUAAACACUUAAUUUGUUUCAAAAAUACCCUUCAUAACCAAGGCAAAGGAGCAACACUUUCUCAUUGCUGCAACAGCCUGCUUUUGGGUCUAUAAAAGCACUGGACUGGAAGACAAGAGGUUUGUGAUCCGACUGCUGGGAAAGAAGAAAAAAAAAAAGGCAAAAAACCCUCAGGUUGACUCAACAUAUACGGCUGUUUUUUUUUUUUUUAAAAUUCACUUUUUUUACAAUAGAGAACAGCACUACAAAACAUAGGCAAAAAAUACUUGCUUUGGAGCACGUUCGGGGUGUGAGGUUACAUCUUUUGCUUAAGUCUACGUUGACGACAAGGGCAGUUCCAACUCCGGAAAAGACAGCCUCUGCAAAGGGAGCCCGACCUGAGGAGCAGAUGCCAGCAGCUACAGAACGCAGAACACAGGAGGCUGGGUACAGCAUUCACAAAAUUACUAUUGAAAGGCUGCGAGAGCUGGGCCUGUUCAGUCUGGCGAAGAGAAGACUGAGAGGCGAUCUCAUCAACGUGCAUAAGAAUCUGAAGGAGGGAUGUCAAGAGGAUGAGGCCAGUCUCUUCUCCGUGGUGCCCAGCAACAGGACAAGAGGCAACGGGCAGAAACUGAACCACAGGAAUUUCCGUCUGAACCUGAGGAAAAACUUCUUCACUGGGAGGGUCACAGAGCAGUGGCACAGGUUGCCCAGAGAGGCAGUGGAGUCUCCUUCGCUGGAGAUACUCAAAACCCGUCUGGAUGCGGUCCUGG